UCCUUCAUUCCACCGGAGUCUGUCUGCGGCAACCAGACUUCAGUGGAGUGAAGCUCA
rnacentral:pre_miRNA from 1 species